UAGGGAAUCUUCCGCAAUGGGCGAAAGCUUGACGGAGCAACGCCGCGUGAGUGAUGAAGGUCUUCGGUUCGUAAAACUCUGUUAUUAGGGAAGAACAAAUGUGUAAGUAACUAUGCACGUCUUGACGGUACCUAAUCAGAAAGCCACGGCUAACUACGUGCCAGCAGCCGCGGUAAUACGUAGGUGGCAAGCGUUAUCCGGAAUUAUUGGGCGUAAAGCGCGCGUAGGCGGUUUUUUAAGUCUGAUGUGAAAGCCCACGGCUCAACCGUGGAGGGUCAUUGGAAACUGGAAAACUUGAGUGCAGAAGAGGAAAGUGGAAUUCCAUGUGUAGCGGUGAAAUGCGCAGAGAUAUGGAGGAACACCAGUGGCGAAGGCGACUUUCUGGUCUGUAACUGACGCUGAUGUGCGAAAGCGUGGGGAUCAAACAGG
rnacentral:rRNA from 1 species